rnacentral:rRNA from 1 species
CUGGCGGCGUGCCUAACACAUGCAAGUCGAACGAGAAAGUGGAGCAAUCCAUGAGUAAAGUGGCGACCGGGUGAGUAACACGUGACUAACCUACCUCCGAGUGGGGAAUAACUCCGGGAAACCGGGGCUAAUACCGCAUAACAUCGCGAGAUCAAAGCAGCAAUGUGCUUGGAGAGGGGGUCGCGGCUGAUUAGCUAGUUGGCGGGGUAACGGCCCACCAAGGCGAAGAUCGGUAUCCGGCCUGAGAGGGCGCACGGACACACUGGAACUGAAACACGGUCCAGACUCCUACGGGAGGCAGCAGUGGGGAAUUUUGCGCAAUGGGGGAAACCCUGACGCAGCAACGCCGCGUGGAGGAUGAAGCCCUUUGGGGCGUAAACUCCUUUCGACCAAGACGAUAAUGACGGUACUGGUGGAAGAAGCACCGGCUAACUCUGUGCCAGCAGCCGCGGUAAUACAGAGGGUGCAAGCGUCGUUCGGAAUUAUUGGGCGUAAAGGGCGCGUANGCGGUGCCACAAGUCACUUGUGAAAUCUCCGGGCUUAACUCGGAGUCUGCAGGCGAAACUGUGGUGCUGGAGU